GUUUUAUUAAGUGGUAUUGGGUUAUGUUAAGUUGUAUUGGGUUGUAUUAAGUGGUAUUGGGUUCUGUUAAGUUGUAUUGGGUUGUAUUAAGUUGAAUUGGGUUUUGUUAAGUUGUAUUUGUUUUUUAAGUUGUAUUGGGUUGUAUUAAGUUGUAUUGGGUUUUAUUAAGUUGUAUUGGGUUUUGUUAAGUUGUAUUUGUUUUUUAAGUUGUAUUGGGUUGUAUUAAGUUGUAUUGGGUUUUGUUAAGUUGUAUUGGGUUUUAUUAAGUGGUAUUGGGUUCUGUUAAGUUGUAUUGGGUUUUAUUAAGUUGUAUUGGGUUCUGUUAAGUUGUAUUGGGUUUUAUGAAGUUGUAUUGUUUUUUAAAGUUGUAUUGGGUUUUGUUGUUUUGUAUUGGGUUUUGUUAAGUUGUAUUGGGUUUUGUUAAGUUGUAUUGGGUUUUAUUAAGUGGUAUUGGGUUCUGUUAAGUUGUAUUGGGUUUUAUUAAGUUGUAUUGGGUUCUGUUAAGUUGUAUUGGGUUUUAUGAAGUUGUAUUGUUUUUUAAAGUUGUAUUGGGUUUUGUUAAGUUGUAUUGGGGUUUGUUAAGUUGUAUUGGGAUUAAUUACGUUGUGUUGGGUUUUAUUAAGUUGUAUUGGGUUAUGUUUAGUUGUAUUGGGUUUUGUUAAGUUGUAUUGGGUUUUAUUAAGUGGUAUUGGGUUCUGUUAAGUUGUAUUGGGUUGUAUUAAGUUGAAUUGGGUUUUGUUAAGUUGUAUUUGUUUUUUAAGUUGUAUUGGGUUUUAUUAAGUUGUAUUGGGUUUUAUUAAGUUGUAUUGGGUUUUAUUAAGUUGUAUUGGGUUUUGUUUAGUUGUAUUGGGUUUUAUGAAGUUGUAUUGGGUUUUGUUAAGUUGUAUUUGUUUUUUAAGUUGUAUUGGGUUGUAUUAAGUUGUAUUGGGUUUUGUUAAGUUGUAUUGGGUUUUAUUAAGUGGUAUUGGGUUCUGUUAAGUUGUAUUGGGUUUUAUUAAGUUGUAUUGGGUUCUGUUAAGUUGUAUUGGGUUUUAUGAAGUUGUAUUGUUUUUUAAAGUUGUAUUGGGUUUUGUUAAGUUGUAUUGGGUUUUGUUAAGUUGUAUUGGGUUUUAUUAAGUUGUAUUGGGUUCUGUUAAGUUGUAUUGGGUUUUAUGAAGUUGUAUUGUUUUUUAAAGUUGUAUUG
rnacentral:lncRNA from 1 species